UAUUAUUAUUAAUAGAAGCAGGGAACAAUACAUUAAAGAAAGCGUUCCCAAAGACCAACCCUUUCCCUAUGUAAAACAAAAAAAUAAAACACAUCUUUCCCUAUACACUAAUGUUUCCUAAUCCACCGCCUCUUCAACUUCAUUUCUCCAGAAAACCUUGACACCUGAAAAAAAUGUUACUCCUUUGGUCAAAACCUACCUUCUAUCUCCUCAUGUUGUGGGUAUCACCUGUGAGUAUUCCUAUUUAUGAUAGAUUGCGUUUCACCAUUUUGGUUGGUUCUGAUAUGCAGUUGUGUUCGCUGGUACAAUUGCGGCAUGUGCUCAUGAAAUUUUUCUUGUGGAUCUCUUUCCAGUGUGAGUGUAUUGCUUUACUGUGUAAACACAUUCAAUUUUGUAGACUUCACUGAAUAU
rnacentral:lncRNA from 1 species